rnacentral:tRNA from 1 species
GGAGAUGUAGCUCAGUAGUAGAGUGUUUGCCUACCAUGCACAAGGCCCUGGGUUCAAUCCUCGCUAUCCCCA